rnacentral:rRNA from 1 species
UACGGAGGGGGCGAGCGUUGUUCGGAAUCAUUGGGCGUAAAGGGCGCGUAGGCGGCGUCGUAAGUCAGAUGUGAAAGCCCUUGGCUUAACCAAGGAAUUGCAUCUGAAACUGCGGUGCUUGAAUCCGGGAGGGGAGAGUGGAAUUCCCAGUGUAGCGGUGAAAUGCGUAGAUAUUGGGAGGAACACCGGCGGCGAAGGCGGCUCUCUGGACCGGUAUUGACGCUGAGGCGCGAAAGCUAGGGGAGCAAAC